GGGAUAAGAAUAAAAAGAGUGAUUGUUAAUUUGAGUAAGAAAUCAUAGGGAAAGCAUCAAUGGUCCUUUUGUGCGAUAGGUGGCGGUAAUGCACUUAAAUGUCUGCGAUCCACCGUAAAGCAAGAAGAAGAAGAAGAAGAAGAAGAAGAAGAAGAAGAAGAAGAAGUUAAGUCAAGUACGUAAUGGAGGGAAGCACAACAUUUUUUGACGUGUCAGGACAUGUGCAGGAGGAAGCAAGCUUGUGGGAUUACUGUGUGUUUGAGCAUCAAAACUUAAAUCACAGCAGCAGCAGCAACGAGCAGAACAGCAAUAACACCAACAACUAUUCCUGCUACAGCACCUGAAGACAGACCUGAAUCUGGAACAGCUGAAGACAGACAGACAUUAUUACUAGUGAGAGCCACUGAUAACCAACUGUACCAAUAUAUUUGUCUGUUAUUUACACCUUUGUACUUUGGUCAUCAAUUGUAUGACAUUGAUUAAUAAAUGGCAGAUUCCUUAAUAAAAAUAACAGCAGUUAAAACAGCAUCACAGCACUGUGAGCUCAAAAGGAAACAUCAAUGUCACAGAAAAACUAAUUUUAUGCAUUUUUCAUGUUAAUAAAUUCAGACUUGUUAACAGCG